UACGUAGGGUGCAAGCGUUAAUCGGAAUUACUGGGCGUAAAGCGUGCGCAGGCGGUUUUGUAAGUCUGUCGUGAAAGCCCCGGGCUCAACCUGGGAAUUGCGAUGGAGGCUGCAAGGCUAGAGUGUGUCAGAGGGGGGUAGAAUUCCACGUGUAGCAGUGAAAUGCGUAGAUAUGUGGAGGAACACCGAUGGCGAAGGCAGCCCCCUGGGAUAACACUGACGCUCAUGCACGAAAGCGUGGGGAGCAAACAGG
rnacentral:rRNA from 1 species